GCGUGGCAAGCAGCCACAGAUGAAAGGAUCAGUGCGCAGGCUGCCACCCGUCGCCAUCACGGAGCAUAAAAACCAGCGCCGCUCGCACCGUCAGGGGCCGCCCUCUGCGGCUUGCAGGGCCUGGUUCUGUCUGCAGAACUGACGGCUGCAGAGCCCGAAGCUUCCGGAAGCAGCCAGCACCUUAACAUCCCCGCUAGGCUGGCAGUGGAGGCCACGCCCACCCCUGGCCUCAGCGGAGGACACCCAGGGACGGAGGUGCCAGCUGCCAGAGAGGGACAGCCUGCAUCCGCUCUGCUGGGAACGACUCCCCCGUUGCUGUAGGAGUGAACAAGUUGCGGCAGGUGGGGUGCAGGACACUCUGCUGAGCGCCUGGCGGGGCUCUCAUCUCAGUUCACAACAGCUAAGCUAUGGAACCAACCCAGGUGCCCUUCAGCAGUUGAGUGGAUAAAGAAAAUGUGGUACAAAUACACAAUGGCCUAUUACUCAGCCAUAAAGAAGAAUGAAAUCAUGGCAUUUGCUGGUAAAUGGAUGGAUCUGCAGACUAUCAUGCUAAGUGAAAUAAGCCAGUCCCCAAAAGCCAAAGGCCGAAUGUUCUCUCUGAUACGUGGAUGCUGACUCACGUUGUUUAAGUGGAUUAUAAGAACGACAUCCACCCUGAAGGCAAAAUGAAUCUCGCAGUUGGGACCAGGCGGGGACUUUGACCCAGGAUGGAAGAGGACGGGACAGACAGCAUUUCAGGGGGGUCUCCCACGGCCAGCGUCACUCCAAUCCCCCUGCCCCAGCGAGGCCUGUCAGCUUUACCUUCAGGACUGAGCCCCAGUCCCCCCACUGCAAGGCCACCCUGUCUUGGUCACCUCCUGCAGCUCUUGAGAAUCCUACCCUGCUUCCUGCCUGGCCUGGUACAGCCUGACCGGCAGAGGCAGAAGGAUCCCAACACCAGGUCUGGUCCUCCUCUUCUGGGCACAAAACCGUUCUGUGGCUCCCGUCUGACUUGGAGUCAACACCGACACUUUUUAACUAGCCUGUCCAGGGGGGCUGGGGUUGCAGCUCAGCGGUAGAGCACACACUUGGCCCAUGCAAGGCGCUGGGUUCGAUCCUCAGCACCACAUAAAAAUAAAUAAAUAAAGUAAAGGUAUUGUGUCCAACGACAACUAAAAAAUAAAAUAAAUAGCCCGUCCUGCCUCUGCCCUCUGCUGCCCUCCCCCUCCAACCACACUCCUCUCUUUGCCCUCCUUUAAGCAGGCCAAGGCUACCUCAGGGCCUUUGCACCGACAGCUCUCCUGCCUGGACGGCUCUCUCCAGCUCUCCAGAGCUUGUCCCCUCCUUCCCUUCUGCCUUCCCUUGGCCACCCCACUUCAGACAGCCCACCUGUGCCCACCUCUGUUGUUCUCAAUCCCUCCUCUGCUCUGGGCGUCCAUAACGCUCAUGAACAUUAGUUGUUUUCAUUCUCUUUCUGUGUCCCUUCAAAUAGAGACGCCCCCGGGAGGGAGAAUAUGUUAAAUCCUGGAAAGGGAAGAACAAUCUUUUUCCAAGAAUCAGUUUAGGAACUUUGGGAAUAUAUUUUCUCUUAGCAUCAGGUAUAUUUAUAAACAGGAGAUGCAGUACCUGUCCUCCUGCUAAAGCAUUCUCUCUCUCUCGCUCUCUCUCUCUCUCUCUCUUGCUCUCUCUCUCGCUCUCUCGCUCUCUUGUUUUUCCCUCCAUCACUGAAGGGUUUCCUCUCCUUUUUUGGUUAAGAUUUUAAACCCACACGAGUGGCCUGCACCAUGGGAUCCGACUAUAAUGCUGAACAAUUGGUCAGCGACUUGAGAUCCGGGAGGCCAGGGGAUGGGAGUCCCAUCACAGCCAGGGACAGCAAAGUCAUGGCCCUUAGGAGGCUCCCGGGUCAGAGGCCUCCGGAGGAGGGAGGCUUUGGACCAGGAGGAGGCUGCUGCCUCUUGGGAGGACAGUGAGGUCUAGAGUGGGCCGAGGGGGUGGCAGUGGAGGGUGGGUGAGGACGGAGCCAGCAGGGAGCGCUCUGGCUUCCCACGCCUUCUCCUGGCCGGAGCCUGGGCCUCAUCUCAUCGCCUCUUCCUCCCAAUAUUGUGUCCCUUGCCUGUACACAGAGCCUCCCACGCCACUGUCCUGGUGGGAGCCUAUGUGACCGCAGCAACAGCGACAGCUACCCGCACCCUGGCUGGUGCGGCAUAGCAGGGUCCUCCGACAGCAGGCCCUGGGCUUAAAGCAGGACCCACUCGCCCCUUCGCCCCUUUGCACCAGAGCCCUCUGGGGAAGGCGCCACCAUGAGCCCUGUCCCCUGG